GUGGAAGAGGCAGAAGCUGUAGGUAUUACCCCUGAUGUGGGAUCUCUCCUGGUAAGGCCAAGCCAGUAUCCUUUAAAAUCAGAAUGCCAGACUGGAUUGGUUGCAGUAAGAGCUGAAUUUGCUCCUCCUGGUUUGCUUGUAGAAGGUGAAUGCAAGAACCCUCCAAGAAAACCAAUGGCCCAGGGGAUUGAUGAGUGCAGGACCUGAGAGAACCCCCUGAAAUGACAACCUCGAGUAGUUUCCAGUCUUGGAUUGAAAAGAUGGCCUUUGCUGCAUCUCCUGGAGCAAGGAAAGCCAAGAAAGCUUUGCUUUGGAAGGAGAAAAUGGGGAAGCAGGAAGGAAGAAGAGAAGCCACGUGACUCCUCCCUGAGCCCCAGACAGCCCAGGAACUGCCUCCCUGGGAAUGGUGGGACGGGCUGGACUCUGGAAUGCUCCCUCUGGAUGUGUGGCUCUCCCCUGCAGGAACUCCAGGAACUCCUGGUGCCGCCUGGGCCGAUGGAUUGGACGCCCCAGCCCCUCCGUUCCUGCCCAGCCCCUGGGGCCGUGUCGAGUGGUGGCACUGCCAGCCCCUGCAGGUGAGGGGGAAAGGGCCUUUGCAGGUCUUGGGGAUCACAUUUAUAGCAGGUAAAGGGGCAGAAAAAGGCCCUGGGGUCUGUUAUUCUUGAGUUAAGAAAGCUCCUUUGGAUUGGUGAGCAGAACAAAGUGGAUCCUUCAGAGUUCCCAUGUGUGUUUGUGUCUCAGCCUGUGUUAUGAUUCAGGGCUGUCAGUUGUUGUCACUGAGGAGUCAAACUCUGCUUUAAAUAAUGAGACACUGGCCUGAUGGCCCAGUGUCAAG